UUUUACAAUUCUUUAUCCCUCCUGCUCUUCCUUGUUUCCCUAUAAUGGAUUUUGAUUUAUUUGAUGAUGGGAUCAGACUUCUCUCCUCUGUAUCAUCAGGAACCUUUACAAGUUUUCUGCUAAGGGAAGGGAUAGCAAGAUUUGCAUUAUGGGGCUUUUUUGUUAUCUUCCCUCCACUGCAACUGAGAUUUGAGAAACCCUGCAUGUGAGUGUCUGUCUGUGUAAGCAAAGUGGUGAUGAUCACUUUGAUCAGCCCUGGUACCAGCACUGCCAGCCCUUUUCCCACUGCACACAGGAGCACAUCCCAUAAAUCCGGAGUGACUGCAGCCAGCCAUCUGCAAGGGAGCCAACAUUCAGCUGCAAUGAGCAGGAUUCAGCAAAGGGAAAGAAGACAAAACAGAGGAGACCACAGACCCAGCAGUGCCUCCAUUUCAGCCCCGAGUCUGUGGUGUUGCCUUGGUUCCAGGUGCCAUCAGGACAGUGACAGCACUUCAGCCUCCUGACAGGAUGGUGUGAAAGAGCUGGAACCCCACUUGCUGCUGCAGAGAGGCAUCCACCAGAAGCUGACCUCCUUAUCUUGAAUUUCAU